GAUUUUAUCACAAACGAAGAUACAGACGGAGCAGUAAUCGUUUUUUUCGGUCGCACCUACUUUCGCAAGCCCCUCUUGUAUUGUGUAAUUGCGCUUUGGUGAACCCCUUGAACGGGCGAAAACUGAGCGAACUGUCAUGCGACUUGUCAGUCCUUGUUUAUUUACAAAUAUUUUUAUUUACGUGCUCUUUUGGUUUGCCUCAGUUCGAUGUUUGCGGAUUUCUCGGGAGAUCUCGUUUAAUCAUUCUUUUUCGCGCUAUUUCGGGGAACUUCCGGGUUUCAUUUAGUGCUGAUCUUGGAUCGUGAUCGUACUAGGUUGGUUGAACAAUGAACUACCGUAGUGAACGAGUGCCAGAAGAAGUGCGCAUCCCAAAAGUCGUCAAAGUAAACCACUAAACGGAGUAUCGAUAAGAAGAACGGACGGAAGGAAAGUGUGUUGGCGUCUUCGAACAUCUUCAUCGAUUUCCUACGGACCGCUGCUGCACGAACUACCUACCUAGAUUCCUCACCAGAGGCGCUCGAAGAUCAAGUCUGUUCAUCGCAUCAAUCCACGGCUCAGAAGCUUACGCCAGCACUAGCGAUAAUUCCAGUGAUAAGCGGGCCCCACAUGAUCCUCAAUAAUUGAUCAAUAUCGGUAGUUUUUGACGGAAUUUUCGUCAAACUUAUGAUUUUUUCAAUGUAUUUUAGGAAAAUCUUUCGAUUGAGCUGAAGGUUUGAUGAAAAUCCCGACAAAAAGUACCGGUUUUGAUGAAGUAUUGACACUCGUGUGGGGUCCGCUAUACAAAACGAAAACGUAGUUUAUUGACAAUGGAACUGAAAAAGUCCGUUCGGAAGCGGGUACGAAAUCAACAGCAGUAUACCUCACCCGGAGGAAGUUCCGCAGGAUAGAUGUGCAAAUUCCCGGCGAAAAAACAUCCAUGUCGUUAAAGGAUCGAAAUUGUGUCGCCUCCAACCAACAAUUCAGUUGAGCGUCACUCUUCUACAAUGUAUUUAAAGUCCGAAGGCAACAGAAGUCGAAAGAAAACUCGUGUGAAAUGGGAGUCUUGCUGCAGCUUGUGGACACCAACUUGUAUCUUUGUAGUUACCUCAUAUAUAUACAUAUAACUGGACUUACCUUCGAGUUUCCCAUGCCUAUAAAGUUUUUGAUGGGGAGAUCGUUUAUAAGAAGUAGGUAUCCAUUUCUCACCCGAAAGUGGACCACCGACGCGGAAGGCCAGAAAUUUCAGGAGCAGACUAGUGAUUUUGGAAGGAAUUUAAUGCUGUUUAGUAAAGAUGAAGGUAAUAAUAAAAUAAUUCAAAAAGAAAGCUGA